GCGCCCGAUCUCGUCUGAUCUCGGAAGGAAA
ensembl:rRNA 5S_rRNA 5S ribosomal RNA